ensembl:lncRNA
CCACCCAACGGGUAUCCAUAUGAGGGCACAAGGCGAGACCCAGAUGCAGACACGGGAGGCAGAUGGUUUGAGUCUUUGAUAUUUAUUAAUAAUCCAAAAACAGUAGGCGAGAGUAUAGCCGUGGUCAGGCAAAAAAGGUCAAAACCAGUUCAGAGUCCAGGAGGUACAGAGUGGCAGGCAGGCUCGAGGUCAGGGCAGGUAAAACAGGUUGGCAGGCUCGAGGUCAGGGCAGGUAAAACAGGUUGGCAGGCUCGAGGUCAGGGCAGGUAAAACAGGCUGGCAGGCUCGAGGUCAGGGCAGGUAAAACAGGUUGGCAGGCUCGAGGUCAGGGCAGGUAAAACAGGUUGGCAGGCUCGAGGUCAGGGCAGGUAAAACAGGUUGGCAGGCUCGAGGUCAGGGCAGGUAAAACAGGUUGGCAGGCUCGAGGUCAAGGCAGGUAAAACAGGUUGGCAGGCUCGAGGUCAAGGCAGGUAAAACAGGUUGGCAGGCUCGAGGUCAGGGCAGGUAAAACAGGCUGGCAGGCUCGAGGUCAGGGCAGGUAAAUCAGGCUGGCAGGCCCGAGGUCAGGGCAGGUAAAACAGGUUGGCAGGCUCGAGGUCAGGGCAGGUAAAACAGGUUGGCAGGCUCGAGGUCAGGGCAGGUAAAACAGGUUGGCAGGCUCGAGGUCAAGGCAGGUAAAACAGGUUGGCAGGCUCGAGGUCAAGGCAGGUAAAACAGGUUGGCAGGCUCGAGGUCAGGGCAGGUAAAACAGGCUGGCAGGCUCGAGGUCAGGGCAGGUAAAACAGGUUGGCAGGCUCGAGGUCAGCGCAGGUAAAACAGGCUGGCAGGCUCGAGGUCAGGGCAGGCAGAAUGGUCAGGCAGGCUCGAGGUCAGGGCAGGCAGAAUGGUCAGGCUGGCGGGUACAGAGUCCAGAAAACAGGGUCAAGGGUCAAAACCGGGAGGACUAGAAAAAGAGAACAGAAAAGGCAGGAGCACGGGAAAACCGCUAGUGGACUUGGAAACAUACAAG